rnacentral:rRNA from 1 species
AACGAACGCUGGCGGCAGGCUUAACACAUGCAAGUCGAACGCCCCGCAAGGGGAGUGGCAGACGGGUGAGUAACGCGUGGGAAUCUACCCAGUUCUACGGAACAACUGAGGGAAACUUCAGCUAAUACCGUAUACGCCCUACGGGGGAAAGAUUUAUCGGAAUUGGAUGAGCCCGCGUUGGAUUAGCUAGUUGGUGAGGUAAAGGCUCACCAAGGCGACGAUCCAUAGCUGGUCUGAGAGGAUGAUCAGCCACACUGGGACUGAGACACGGCCCAGACUCCUACGGGAGGCAGCAGUGGGGAAUAUUGGACAAUGGGCGCAAGCCUGAUCCAGCCAUGCCGCGUGAGUGAUGAAGGCCUUAGGGUUGUAAAGCUCUUUCAGUGGGGACGAUAAUGACGGUACCCACAGAAGAAGCCCCGGCUAACUUCGUGCCAGCCGCCGCUGUAACAC